rnacentral:rRNA from 1 species
UACGAAGGGGGCUAGCGUUGCCCGGAAUUACUGGGCGUAAAGCGCACGUAGGCGGCUUUUUAAGUCAGGGGUGAAAUCCUGGAGCUCAACUCCAGAACUGCCUUUGAUACUGAGAAGCUUGAGUCCGGGAGAGGUGAGUGGAACUGCGAGUGUAGAGGUGAAAUUCGUAGAUAUUCGCAAGAACACCAGUGGCGAAGGCGGCUCACUGGCCCGGUACUGACGCUGAGGUGCGAAAGCGUGGGGAGCAAACCGG